AUUAAUCAGAAAUAACUGUUCAGCUUUUGUCAAGAAGAAGAAAAUUCAUGAGGCUUGGCGUCCUCGCGCUCCUGCUGUUUGCGCGCAUGCGCGUGGAAGAGCGAUUUCAAAUACAAGGAAGUAACGGCUCCUUUCCUCAAAGAAAGAAACACCCGCUGCGCAAGCUGCGAUGCUUACGAGUCUAAUGCACUUUGUGGGACGAAAUGGAGACUACAAACACAAGAAAAUCCAGUAUGACUUCUCUAAAAGUCUCAAAGGAUUCACAGAACAGCACUAUCAGUUAAUAAAGAAAUGUGUCUCUGUAGUGGACACCUGUGAGGCAGAGGACAGACAGCUGCUGAAGUCUGAUGCUGGCUGACAAUAAACAGACCUCUCUGGACGUACCCCAUCUUUUGUAGAGUAAUUCUAACAUUGCCCUUCCUGUAAAAUGAUGAUCCUGCUGUCCUGGAUGUAUAUGAUGAGCCUACACAUAAUCUCAGAACAGCUGUGGUAAUAGCAGGAGACCCAUUUGGUGAGAGCAGCACUGCAGUCUUUCCUGAUGGAGGAGACCAUGGACCAUUUCCAUAAGACUGAUGAUGUGUUUCAGCGGCCAUCAGCAUCCAGGGAAGCCAUACAUUCGCACACCUUCCUCUGACCGAGUGGAGCAUCCCCAUGCAGCACAGCAAACCAUGGUGGAGACUAUGCAAGGACAACAUGAAAGAAAGGACACAUACAAAAUGCUUGAUCAAAUGUAUAUCAAGUGAUAUCCAUCCUCAUAGAACCUCCACAAAUAGAGCACUUCUGGAGAGACAGUUAAACUCUGGAUGCAGACUGGAACUUCUGAGCACCAUCACCUUGUCUGCUUUGGGACUGCAAUGAAUGAUACAGUACUUUUCUGUGUUGAAUUUACAUAACAUCAGUACACAGACAUAGUUUUGUUCCAGUUUUGCUGUGCUUAUGCCUUCUUUGUGUCCCCAGCCCAGCAAUCAGAUGCAUCAAAACAACAAAGCACAACUGUCGUGGUCCAGGCACCUUCAGCAACAAAUCAAAUGUAUAUCAAGUGAUAUCCAUCCUCAUAGAACCUCCACAAAUAGAGCACUUCUGGAGAGACAGUUAAACUCUGGAUGCAGACUGGAACUUCUGAGCACCAUCACCUUGUCUGCUUUGGGACUGCAAUGAAUGAUACAGUACUUUUCUGUGUUGAAUUUACAUAACAUCAGUACACAGACAUAGUUUUGUUCCAGUUUUGCUGUGCUUAUGCCUUCUUUGUGUCCCCAGCCCAGCAAUCAGAUGCAUCAAAACAACAAAGCACAACUGUCGUGGUCCAGGCACCUUCAGCAACAAGUAAAUUGCUUUAACGUUAAUGAUAAUGCAAUGCCAGUCAUGUAAUGACUUGACCCAUCUGAUGUAAUUGUUCAUGCCGGAGAUUGAACAACAUUGUCAAUCAGGAGUAUUUUCAACAGGAGGCACACUUCAGCUGGCUUGAUAGUGACUUCAAUAGUAUGGGAUCAGAAUCCCUGCAUUUGUUUUUCAGUUUUGUGCUUUAUUAUUUUACACGUGUUUUUAAUUUAGAUAGAUAGAAAUAGUCAGAUAGAUAGAUAGAUAGAUAGAUAGAUAGAUAGAUAGAUUAGAUGAGUUUGAAUGAGUUUAAAUUGAUUAGCAUCAAAGCUUGAUUGAGUCUAAUGGGAUUUGGAGCUUGGGUCAUCUGAACAUCCUGUCAAUGAAAGUCUAUGGGAUUUUUAUGACUUUUUAAUAUAAAUUUUUAAGAAAACCGUAACUUAAACCAGUCUGAAAAGAUAUAGCACCCUAAAUCAGAACAGUAUGAACGUCUGACCCGAGUUUGGAGUAUGUAGCUUGAACGGUCUAGGAGGAGUUAGUGUGCAAAAAAUUUGCGGCCAGAAGAAGAAGAAGAAGAAGAAGAAGAAGAAGAAGAAGAAGAAGUUUAAAUAGGAUUUCAGUAAGUUGGCUUUCUCAAGCCAACUUAAAGGGGGGGGGGGGGUGAAAUGCUAUUUCAUGCAUACUGAGUUUUUUACACUGUUAAAGAGUUGGAUUCCCAUGCUAAACAUGGACAAAGUUUCAAAAAUUAAGUUGUACGUUUGAAGAUGCUAAGCCCCGAGUUUUACAUUGUAGGUUAGAGAAAUCGAAAACUGAAACGACCGCGGAAAUGGGAAACGAGACACGGGAUGCAAUUCGCUCUGUUAUGGAGAACAUUCAACUCUUUUUCAAACUGCAAAAGUCGUUUACAGCCAUGUUCACUCCGGUAUUUCGCUCGCAUCAUCAUGUGUUUACAACAGGUUUACAGUGAAAGUUCAAUCAUAGAUUUGAGUUCGAUGCAUGAUGUCUGUGCUUCGAUGCGGCUGUACAGGGGCAUAACAUACGUCAUAACUAAACGUAUCUGAUUGGCUUACGGGUAACCAAUAAUUUUAAACUUCAGACAAGCGCCCCCUAGCGAGAGAGAAAACACUUCUUUAUUAUGCCAUUCCAGACUCUGUCUACGAAGCAAAGUGAAGUAUUAGAGUCUGGUAUUACCAGGCUAAUAUGUUUUGCGUUUAGGUGAUACUUGAGGCUCGAUGUGCUGCUGUGGUGAAAUGCGAACGCUAGUUGGUGCUCCAGUAUAAUCGGUCCGCCAGAACUCAUCCAGUGAGAAACGUUCUGCGGUGCAAAAAUAAGUUAUUAAAGAUGCGGGAAUUUUUUUUUCUGUAAUUAAUUAAUCUUAAUUAACGCCUUAUUUUUUGUGUAAUUAAUUAAUCUCGAUUAACGCGUUAAAGUCCCGGCCCUAGUACUUAUUCUAAAUGUUACUAGUAUGAUUUUUUAUUUUACUAGUAAUUUUUUUGGUUGAACUCUACUAUAGUCAUUUGGACUAGUCAUAACAUAAGACGAGUAAAAAAGCAGAUCUGACUAGUAAGAUAAGAAUAGUUACUAGUAGUGAUUAAAAAAGGUACUAGUAUCUAAAGAAUAAGAGCUAGUACCUAAUGAAUAACUAUUAGUAUCUAUUAAAGGCCGUGUUGCAAGGUUAAUUUUUUAACGAAUUUGUAAAAUAUGCUUGUUGGUAAUAAACAUUUAAACUGUUAUCCAUUGUAUUUUAUGUUGUUGGGUAUCACAAAACGGAAUAUAAUACGAAAAAGUAGAUACUAUCUUACAGCGGUCUCCUUUCCCCCACAAUGCAUUGCAUCACGUCACUUUGGGGAGAGAAUUUACCAAAGCACGCCUUGAGAGCAUUGAGAGUGACUAGAGAGACGAGUAGUAGACGACAGUAUUCAGAUAGCGCCGAUUAUAGAUAAAUAGAUAAAUACAUAGAUAUAUAUAGAUGGAUAGACUACAUAUAUAGAUAGAUAGAUAGACAGACAGAUAGAUAGACAGACAGAUAGAUACAGAGAUAUCAACCAACAGCGACCCAAACGGACUCGCUUCCCUACAGCACAAGCUCUUCAGCGCAGUUUCCAUGGGACAGCACCACCCACACAAGCACGUGCCAAACACAGCGACACACACGCGGCUACGUUUGUAACAACAUUUUCACCGAAGGAAGAGAUAAACGCUUAGAAACAUCCAUAUAGCUUGCAUGAUGCCUUCUAUUUCUAGAUGACGAAGACAAAGUUUCCAGUACUACGACGCUAUGACAAAGGUUACCGGUAACGUUACUUAUCUGAACUAACGUCAUGAUCACUGCCACGAGAUAUAAAGAAAACGUUGAUUUUUUUCACUCUGUGCAUCUCAAUGACAGUAAAAAAUAAAUAAAAUAAAAUAUAUAUA